rnacentral:rRNA from 1 species
CCUACGGGAGGCUGCAGUGGGGAAUAUUGCACAGUGGGCGCAAGCCUGAUGCAGCCAUGCCGCGUGUGUGAAGAAGGCCUUCGGGCUGUAAAGCACUUUCAGCGGGGAGGAAGGCGUUAAGGUUAAUAACCUUGUCGAUUGACGUUACCCGCAGAAGAAGCACCGGCUAACUCCGUGCCAGCAGCCGCGGUAAUACGGAGGGUGCAAGCGUUAAUCGGAAUUACUGGGCGUAAAGCGCACGCAGGCGGUCUGUCAAGUCGGAUGUGAAAUCCCCGGGCUCAACCUGGGAACUGCAUUCGAAACUGGCAGGCUAGAGUCUUGUAGAGGGGGGUAGAAUUCCAGGUGUAGCGGUGAAAUGCGUAGAGAUCUGGAGGAAUACCGGUGGCGAAGGCGGCCCCCUGGACAAAGACUGACGCUCAGGUGCGAAAGCGUGGGGAGCAAACAGGAUUAGAUACCCUAGUAGUC